UACUGACAGUCUUUUGUUCUGGACUACAUUUUCAAGAAUGAAGAGUGAACAACCUUGGAAAACAGAGAUAGUAGCAGAGGAUGGAGAAGGAGCAGAGGGUUCUUAUAAGGAUUAAAUAAGUUCACAUUUGCGAACUGCUUGGACCAGUGCCUGUAAUAUGAGCGCUUUGUGGUACGUCCAAAGGAAGUACGUGCGGGUGCCCCAGCCUUCCCCACAGAACAAUGGACUGACUACUUCAAGUGAGUUGCUACAUGCUCAGCACAGACUCAGACAACACAAGAAAAUAUAUAUCAAGGUUUUUUAUCAUGGAGAAGUUCAGCGUUUGGGGAAAAGCAAGAUUUACGCACAAGAAGCGAGUGGAAGACAAUACAAGGCAAAUGCCUGAUGCAGCAAUGAAGUUGUCCCUUCUCAAUCUCAGGAAACCCCUUAACCUCACAAAACCUUAGCGUUUGCUUUUCUCAUUACAGAGCCCUAAAGCAAACAGGAACUGAGGCAAAGAGAUUUAAAUUAGAAGAGCAACUUAGUAAUAAUAAUGCUUGUAGUACAGAGCUUUUCAUGUAUGUUGUCUCAAGGUACUGUAAGACCUUGAGAAACAAUGCUUAAAGGAAGUGGGCAGGGGUUCCACUAUUUUUUUCUGACCUAACUGAUAUUUGGGGAGGCCCAGUGCUAGGGA